AUUUCAAGAAAUACCUAGGGCCUCAGCUAAAGUCUUCUUUAAUGCUCUACUGGGGAAGAAAGAAAUGUCACCUUCUUCUUGGACGGCUUAAGGUAACAGCAGCGAGUGUGAAGAGUGCUGGACUCUGGGGCUCAGUUUUAUGGAUCACUCCUACAGUUCUGGAACCUAAAACAUCAACAGCAGAAUAGGCUGACAGCGGCUAUUUUAGUGCAGGUUUCCUCUUCGCUGUGAAUGUGCGAGGUGUGUGUAGAAGUGUGUGUCGUUGUUCCGAUUCAUCAGGGCCUCCUUUUCUUUCUGCCGGAUCUUCAGUUUUAUUCCCCAGACUGCCUGAUGGAGGGAAAGAGAGAGAGAGGUGUGUGUGUCAUGUCAAUGAUGUCGUUCUUAGUAUUGAGCCAUGAUCUCAGCCAAUAAUUGCAGUAAUCAAGACGCUUUAACACGUACAGGUGUGUGAGGGGAAUUUACAAAGAACGACGGGCUCCUUCCACUCCCUAGUUUGCUGUAAUGUGAAUCAAUGAACAAGAAUUCAGGCGUUAGCAAAGGCCUAGCACUGAUGACUGAAUUAUUUGUGACACAAUCACUAGGUUGCACAAUUAUGUU